rnacentral:rRNA from 1 species
CCUACGGGUGGCUGCAGUGGGGAAUAUUGGACAAUGGGCGAAAGCCUGAUCCAGCCAUGCCGCGUGCAGGAUGACGGUCCUAUGGAUUGUAAACUGCUUUUGUACGGGAAGAAACACUGCUACGUGUAGCAGCUUGACGGUACUGUAAGAAUAAGGAUCGGCUAACUCCGUGCCAGCAGCCGCGGUAAUACGGAGGAUCCAAGCGUUAUCCGGAAUCAUUGGGUUUAAAGGGUCCGUAGGCGGUCUAGUAAGUCAGUGGUGAAAGCCCAUCGCUCAACGGUGGAACGGCCAUUGAUACUGCUAGACUUGAAUUAUUAGGAAGUAACUAGAAUAUGUAGUGUAGCGGUGAAAUGCUUAGAGAUUACAUGGAAUACCAAUUGCGAAGGCAGGUUACUACCAAUUGAUUGACGCUGAUGGACGAAAGCGUGGGUAGCGAACAGGAUUAGAUACCCUUGUAGUA